AGUGAACGCUGGCGGUAGGCCUAACACAUGCAAGUCGAACGGCAGCACAGUAAGAGCUUGCUCUUACGGGUGGCGAGUGGCGGACGGGUGAGGAAUACAUCGGAAUCUACUUUUUCGUGGGGGAUAACGUAGGGAAACUUACGCUAAUACCGCAUACGACCUACGGGUGAAAGCAGGGGAUCUUCGGACCUUGCGCGAUUGAAUGAGCCGAUGUCGGAUUAGCUAGUUGGCGGGGUAAAGGCCCACCAAGGCGACGAUCCGUAGCUGGCCUGAGAGGAUGAUCAGCCACACUGGAACUGAGACACGGUCCAGACUCCUACGGGAGGCAGCAGUGGGGAAUAUUGGACAAUGGGCGCAAGCCUGAUCCAGCUAUACCGCGUGGGUGAAGAAGGCCUUCGGGUUGUAAAGCCCUUUUGUUGGGAAAGAAAAGCAGCAGGUUAAUACCCCGCUGUUCUGACGGUACCCAAAGAAUAAGCACCGGCUAACUUCGUG
rnacentral:rRNA from 1 species